rnacentral:rRNA from 1 species
CCCUUUGUUGUCCGACUCUGUUGCCUCCGGGGCGACCCUGCCUUCGGGCGGGGGCUCCGGGUGGACACUUCAAACUCUUGCGUAACUUUGCAGUCUGAGUAAACUUAAUUAAUAAAUUAAAACUUUUAACAACGGAUCUCUUGGUUCUGGCAUCGAUGAAGAACGCAGCGAAAUGCGAUAAGUAAUGUGAAUUGCAGAAUUCAGUGAAUCAUCGAAUCUUUGAACGCACAUUGCGCCCCCUGGUAUUCCGGGGGGCAUGCCUGUUCGAGCGUCAUUUCACCACUCAAGCCUCGCUUGGUAUUGGGCAACGCGGUCCGCCGCGUGCCUCAAAUCGUCCGGCUGGGUCUUCUGUCCCCUAAGCGUUGUGGAAACUAUUCGCUAAAGGGUGUUCGGGAGGCUACGCCGUAAAACAACCCCAUUUCUAAGGUUGACCUCGGAUCAGGUAGGGAUACCCGCUGAACUUAAGCAUAUCA